AUGAACACUGGCAAUACGCCUAACACAUGCAAGUUGAACGUAGUCUUAAUAUUAAAUACUAAGUAGCGUACGGGUGAGUACAACACAGGAAUUAUACUGUUAGUUUGGAAUAAACAUAUUAUCUAGCGAUAAGAAGUUUACCGUAAAAAAUUAAACGUGUUAAUACCGGAUAUAAAAAGAUUAAUCGCUAAUAAAUGAGCUUGUGCGGGAUUAGGUAGGUGGAGAGGUAAAUGCUUACCAAGCCUGUGAUCCUUAGCUGGUCUAAGAGGAAGAUCAGCCACAUAGGGACUGAGACACGGCCCUAACUCUUAUAUAGAGGCAGCAGUGGGGAAUAUUGGACAAUGAGCGAAAGCUUGAUACAGCGAUAUUGCGUGAGGGACGAAGCCUAUAUUGGGUGUAAAGCUCUUUCGUCAAGGAAGAUAAUGACUGUACUUGAAGAAGAAGUCCCGGCUAACUCUGU
rnacentral:rRNA from 1 species